GACGAACGCUGGCGGCGUGCUUAACACAUGCAAGUCGAACGAGCGAGAGAGAGCUUGCUUUCUCGAGCGAGUGGCGAACGGGUGAGUAACGCGUGAGGAACCUGCCUCAAAGAGGGGGACAACAGUUGGAAACGACUGCUAAUACCGCAUAAGCCCACGACCCGGCAUCGGGUUGAGGGAAAAAGGAGCAAUCCGCUUUGAGAUGGCCUCGCGUCCGAUUAGCUAGUUGGUAAGGUAACGGCUUACCAAGGCGAUGAUGCAUAGCCGAGUUGAGAGACUGAUCGGCCACAAUGGAACUGAGACACGGUCCAU
rnacentral:rRNA from 1 species